rfam:Salmo salar isolate Sally breed double haploid chromosome ssa01, whole genome shotgun sequence.
UCCCGUUUGGUUCAGUUGGUAGAGCAUGGUGCUUGCAACUCCAGGGUUGCGGGUUCUAUUCCCACGGGGGAC